rnacentral:rRNA from 1 species
GAUGAACGCUGGCGGCGUGCCUAAUACAUGCAAGUCGAGCGAACGGACGAGAAGCUUGCUUCUCUGAUGUUAGCGGCGGACGGGUGAGUAACACGUGGAUAACCUACCUAUAAGACUGGGAUAACUUCGGGAAACCGGAUCUAAUACCGGAUGAUAUUUUGAACCGCAUGGUUCAAAAGUGAAAGACGGUCUUGCUGUCACUUAUAGAUGGAUCCGCGCUGCAUUAGCUAGUUGGUAAGGUAACGGCUUACCAAGGCAACGAUGCAUAGCCGACCUGAGAGGGUGAUCGGCCACACUGGAACUGAGACACGGUCCAGACUCCUACGGGAGGCAGCAGUAGGGAAUCUUCCGCAAUGGGCGAAAGCCUGACGGAGCAACGCCGCGUGAGUGAUGAAGGUCUUCGGAUCGUAAAACUCUGUUAUUAGGGAAGAACAUAUGUGUAAGUAACUGUGCACAUCUUGACGGUACCUAAUCAGAAAACCACGGCUAACUACGUG